rnacentral:rRNA from 1 species
UACGUAGGGGGCAAGCGUUGUCCGGAAUCAUUGGGCGUAAAGAGCGUGUAGGCGGCCCGAUAAGUCCGCUGUGAAAGUCCAGGGCUCAACCCUGGAAUGCCGGUGGAUACUGUCGGGCUCGAGUUCGGAAGAGGUGAGUGGAAUCCUGGUGUAGCGGUGAAAUGCGCAGAUAUCAGGAGGAACACCAAUGGCGAAGGCAGCUCACUGGGACGUUACUGACACUGAGGCGCGAAAGCGUGGGGAGCGAACAGG